rnacentral:rRNA from 1 species
UACGAAGGGGGCGAGCGUUGUUCGGAUUUACUGGGCGUAAAGGGCGCGCAGGCGGCUCAUUUUGUCAGGCGUGAAAGCCCCGGGCUUAACCUGGGAACUGCGUUUGAUACUGGCGACCUUGAGGCUGGAAGAGGUUAGUGGAAUUCCCAGUGUAGAGGUGAAAUUCGUAGAUAUUGGGAAGAACACCUGUGGCGAAAGCGGCGCACUGGACCACAACUGACGCUGAGGCGCGAAAGCUAGGGGAGCAAACAGGG